rnacentral:rRNA from 1 species
GAUGAACGCUAGCGGCAGGCCUAAUACAUGCAAGUCGAGGGGCAGCAGGGAUAGCAAUAUUCGCUGGCGACCGGCGCACGGGUGCGUAACACGUAUACAAUCUGCCUUUAACUGGGGGAUAGCCCGGAGAAAUCCGGAUUAAUACCCCAUAAUAAUUUGACUGGCAUCAGUUAGAUUUGAAAGCUCGGCGGUUAGAGAUGAGUAUGCGACUGAUUAGCUAGUUGGUGAGGUAACGGCUCACCAAGGCAACGAUCAGUAGGGGAUC